UACGGAGGGGGCUAGCGUUGUUCGGAAUUACCGGGCGUAAAGCGCACGUAGGCGGACUGUUAAGUCGGGGGUGAAAUCCUGGGGCUCAACCUCAGAAUUGCCUCCGAUACUGGCAGUCUCGAGUGCGGGAGAGGUGAGUGGAAUUCCCAGUGUAGAGGUGAAAUUCGUAGAUAUUGGGAAGAACACCAGUGGCGAAGGCGGCUCACUGGCCCGUAACUGACGCUGAGGUGCGAAAGCGUGGGGAGCAAACAGG
rnacentral:rRNA from 1 species